rnacentral:lncRNA from 1 species
AUAUCUUCUUUUGAGAAGUGUCUGUUCAUAUCCUUUGCCCACUUUUUGAUGGGGUUGUUUUUUUCUUGUAAAUUUGUUUAAGUUCUUGUAAUUAUCUUUUAAAAGUUCAGCAAACAAGAGAACAGAAGUAGACAACUAAAAGAAAACAUAAACACAAUACAUAAAAGAAGAUAUUCAACAAAGAAAAAACAUAUUAAGAAUACAAUGAACUAAACAUCUCAAUAAUUCUCAUGUGUGUUCCUGCAAGAAUUCUGAGUAUUGUGUGUUUUGCAUUGAAAAGGACUAACAGCUAUUAGUCCUACCAGAGCAAGACCAAGCAAAAGGAACAAAUCUGGAGGCAUCAAAUUACCCGGCUUUAUAUUAUACCACAAGGCUAUCGUUACCAAAGCAUCAUGAUACUGGUAUAGAAACAGGUACAUAGAUAAAUGAGGAAAAGUAUUGUAUAAAUGCUAAACCAUGUAUAAAAUGAUCUAAUUUAGGGAGUUAUAUCUAAUUUAAUGUGGUAUAAUUUGUCUUUUUCCAUAGACAGAAGUUAAAAAGAAACAUAUCAAAAUAUUGUCUGUAACUCAAAGGACAAAUGCCUGAGGGGAUGGAGACCCCAUUCUCCAUGAUGUGCUUAUUUCACAUUGCAUACCUGUAUCAAAACAUCUCAGGUACCCUAUAAAUAUAUAUACCUACUAUGUACCCACAAAAAUUAAAAAUAAGAAGAAAUUAAAAAUAAAAUAAAAAUAAACCUACCAAUAUAUUAACAAUGGCUAUUUCCUUGCAAGUCAUAGGUUUUCUUAAUUUUUCUGCAUUUUUAAAUAUUUCUACAAUGAUAGUGAACUAUUUGUAUAGUCAGCAGAAAAUUAAUAUUAUUAAUAGAUUUAAAUAGCAAAAAUAAACCUGACUCUGUUCAGAGAGUAGAAGACUUUCUAGAGACUGUUGUUUGGGGUCACUGUUCAACCAACAGAGCCCUCACUGUGGAGAGAUUGAGGCAGAGUCCCAUUAUCACCCUGACUGACUAAGCUGGCAGCCACUAGCCUGCUGGCUCUGAGCCCUCCUGAUAUCCUGAAGUCAGGGGCCCAGGGGCUGUGGGAAACCUGCCCUUCAGUGGCCUCAUCAAAUGUCCUCAAUCCAUAUGCUUUGCGUACAUGAAAAGAUGUGGACAGUAGAGUAAUUAUAAAAAGAAAUAAAUGACUGGGCAAAGUUAGGAAAAAUGGAGACACAUUAUACAUUAUUAUGUAUAGUAUCAGCUGUUACUGUUUCUACGUGUCUGGAGGUAAAAUUUUAAAAAAUGACAUAAAAUUUUUUUAAAAAAGACAACUUAAGUAGAACACUUAGUAAUUGCCAAAAAAACAAUACAAAUUUUGCUUUAGUUUAAAAAUUCCCAGUCCAUUCACAAUUGCUUCAAAGAGAAUAAAAUACCUAGGAAUCCAACUUACAAGGGACGGGAAGGACCUCCUCAAGGAGAACCACAAACCACUGCUCAAUGAAAUAAAAGAGGAUACAAACAAAUGGAAGAACAUUCCAUGCUCAUGGGUAGGAAGAAUCAAUAUCUUGAAAAUGGCCAUACUGCCCAAGGUAAUUUAUAGAUUCAAUGCCAUCCCCAUCAAGCUACCAAUGACUUUCUUCACAGAAUUGGAAAAAACUACUUUAAAGUUCAUAUGGAACCAAAAAAGAGCCCACAUCGCCAAGUCAAUCCUAAGCCAAAAGAACAAAGCCGGAGGCAUCACGCUACUUGACUUCAAACUAUACUACAAGGCUACAGUAACCAAAACAGCAUGGUACUGGUACCAAAACAGAGAUAUAGAUCAAUGGAACAGAACAGAGCCCUCAGAAAUAACGCCACAUAUCUACAAAUAUCUGAUCUUUGACAAACCUGAGAAAAACAAGCAAUGGGGAAACGAUUCCCUAUUUAAUAAAUGGUGCUGGGAAAACUGGCUAGCCAUAUGUAGAAAGCUGAAACUGGAUCCCUUCCUUACACCUUAUACAAAAAUUAAUUCAAGAUGGAUGAAAGACUUCAAUAUUAGACCUAAAACCAUAAAAACUCUAGAAGAAAACCUAGGCAUUACCAUUCAGGACAUAGGCAUGGGCAAGGACUUCAUGUCUAAAACACCAAAAGCAAUGGCAACAAAAGCCAAAAUUGACAAACGGGAUCUAAUUAAACUAAAGAGCUUCUGCAUGGCAAAAGAAACUACCAUCAGAGUGAACAGGCAACCUACAAAAUGGGAGAAAAUUUUCGCAACCUACUCAUCUGACAAAGGGCUAAUAUCCAGAAUCUACAAUGAACUCAAACAAAUUUACAAGAAAAAAACAACCCCAUCAAAAAGUGGGUGAAGGACAUGAACAGACAUUUCUCAAAAGAAGACAUUUAUGCACCCAAAAAACACAUGAAAAAAUGCUCAUCAUCACUGGCCAUCAGAGAAAUGCAAAUCAAAACCACAAUGAGAUAUCAUUCACACCAGUUAGAAUGGCAAUCACUAAAAAGUCAGGAAACAACAGGUGCUGGAGAGGAUGUGGAGAAAUAGGAACACUUGUACACUGUUGGUGGGACUGUAAACUAGUUCAACCCUUGUGGAAGUCGGUGCAGCGAUUCCUCAGGGAUCUAGAACUAGAAAUACCAUUUGACCCAGCCAUCCCAUUACUGGGUAUAUACCCAAAGGACUAUGAAUCAUGCUGCUAUAAAGACACAUGCACACGUAUGUUUAUUGCAGCACUAUUCACAAUAGCAAAGACUUGGAACCAACCCAAAUGUCCAACAAUGAUAGACUGGAUUAAGAAAAUGUGGCACAUAUACACGAUGGAAUACUAUGCAGCCAUAAAAAAUGAUAAGUUCAUGUCCUUUGUAGGGACAUGGAUGAAAUUGGAAAUUAUCAUUCUCAGUAAACUAUCGCAAGAACAAAAAACCAAACACUGCAUAUUCUCACUCAUAGGUGGGAACUGAACAAUGAGAACACAUGGACACAGGAAGAGGAACAUCACACUCUGGGGACUGUUGUGGGGUGGGGGGAGGGGGGAGGGAUAGCUUUAGGAGAUAUAUCUAAUGCUAAAUGACGAGUUAAUGGGUGCAGCACACCAGCAUGGCACAUGUAUACAUAUAUAACUAACCUGCACAUUGUGCACAUGUACCCUAAAACUUAAAGUAUAAUAAUAAUAAAAUAAAAAGAAAAAAAAAUUCCCAGUCCAAAAUAUUUGACCUUUAUCUUCAUUUAUAUUCACAAAAGGCCAAAUGUAAGCUUCUGGCCAAGAGCUAGGUGGUUGGCACAUCUAAUUGUCAACUUACCAGAGAGGGCAUCAUGAAAAAGUGCUUUAAGUUGCAUAUUUGCCUUGGCAUUAACCCUCAGACAAUAUGAAUAUUUUCUAAAUAUCUAAACUCAUACAUGAUUUCAAAGUGAAUAAAAAAAGUUCUUGAACCAAGUGAUUUCCUGGUGUUUGGAUGUGUGAGCUCAGCCAAAUUUUUUCAGUCUUAUCACAAAAAAGUAGUUUGAGGAAGAGUAUGGACUUCAAAACCCCUUUCUUGAUAAGUGUUCAUACUCUAUCUCAACCAAAUUGAAGUAACUUCUCCCUAUAUUACAGAGCCUCAGCUCACUGUAAUAUGUUUAUAUUACACCUAAAAAUCACUUAGAAUCAUUAGAUAUGUAUGUAAACUAUGUUUACCUUUGUUGAUUCCUCAGCUUAUAAUUUUGGUUUCUCAGACCUCUGAAUUGGUCAAAAAAAAUUAUAAUAGCCACUCCACAAGCACUCACGCCUUGGACAUCUAAGCCAUUGCCACAGAGAAAUAGUCUACUCCCCAGUCCCCAGCUCUGCUGUCACUCUUCACAUGCUCACACUCCAGACCCCAACUCCAUGGCUGCACUUUGCCCCUCUACACAUCAGAUACUAGAGACACCACCACUGUGAGCUAGCCCACACCAUGAGGCUUGGAACUGUGACCUCUGCACAAGUCAAUGCUCCACACAAUGGCUACACCACCACAAGCAGCUAGCCCAUCCCCUGGUUCUGAAGCCACUGUUGCUCCCCAUAUGCCCAAGCUUCAGGCCCCAGCUUCACAGUUGCUCCACUGUCACUGUGCAUUAGAGACCAGUUCCACUGCCAUUGUAAAUGCAUCCACAAACCAGACUCAAGACCAAGAAAGAUUCCCUCAGCCACACUUUCCAGGUGGGAGAAAAAAAAAUCAAGAAGAUCCCAACAGGCUUCACCACUGAAAACCCCAACAUCCUCACCACUGCUAAAGAAAACAAUAGCCUUACCUGCUGAGGAACCCUGCAACAUUCACUAAUGCUGACCUCAACAAACAGAACUGCAAGAAGACCAUGCCACUGUACAUAUACACCAUGGAAUACUAUGCAGCCAUAAAAAAGGAUGAGUUCAUGUCUUUGUAGG